GUUGUAGCUCAGUGGUAGGUCACUUGCCUUGCACACAUGAGGCACUGGGUUCAAAUCUCAACACCACA
rnacentral:tRNA from 1 species